rnacentral:rRNA from 1 species
GCAGCAGCCGCGGUAAUACGUAGGUGGCAAGCGUUGUCCGGAAUUAUUGGGCGUAAAGCGCGCGCAGGCGGUUUCUUAAGUCUGAUGUGAAAGCCCCCGGCUCAACCGGGGAGGGUCAUUGGAAACUGGGAAACUUGAGUGCAGAAGAGGAGAGUGGAAUUCCACGUGUAGCGGUGAAAUGCGUAGAGAUGUGGAGGAACACCAGUGGCGAAGGCGACUCUCUGGUCUGUAACUGACGCUGAGGCGCGAAAGCGUGGGGAGCGAACAGGAUUAGAUACCCUGGUAGUCCACGCCGUAAACGAUGAGUGCUAAGUGUUAGAGGGUUUCCGCCCUUUAGUGCUGCAGCUAACGCAUUAAGCACUCCGCCUGGGGAGUACGGUCGCAAGACUGAAACUCAAAGGAAUUGACGGGGGCCCGCACAAGG